UGGGGAAUAUUGGACAAUGGGCGAAAGCCUGAUCCAGCCAUGCCGCGUGUGUGAAGAAGGUCUUCGGAUUGUAAAGCACUUUAAGUUGGGAGGAAGGGCAUUAACCUAAUACGUUAGUGUUUUGACGUUACCGACAGAAUAAGCACCGGCUAACUCUGUGCCAGCAGCCGCGGUAAUACAGAGGGUGCAAGCGUUAAUCGGAAUUACUGGGCGUAAAGCACGCGUAGGUGGUUUGUUAAGUUGGAUGUGAAAUCCCCGGGCUCAACCUGGGAACUGCAUUCAAAACUGACUGACUAGAGUAUGGUAGAGGGUGGUGGAAUUUCCUGUGUAGCGGUGAAAUGCGUAGAUAUAGGAAGGAACACCAGUGGCGAAGGCGACCACCUGGACUAAUACUGACACUGAGGUGCGAAAGCGUGGGGAGCAAACA
rnacentral:rRNA from 1 species